GAUGACUGGAAGAAUAAGCAAAGGAAAAACUCCAGUGUAAAUAAAAUAUACGAUUCAACGAAUUUAUUGAUUGUCCUAUUCAUCAAGGGUCAACCAGUUUUCCCUACAAAAAAGUACUGAGAGAAAGAAUCAGGGAGGGCCAAGUUGAGGUGUUAGUGCAGUGGCAUCCCUGCUCUGGAUGUGGGGUGAAGUGGAAAAACUCCUGGGAGCCGAAAACCAAUGUUCAGUGAGUGUCAUCCUGAAGACAAGGGUGUAUUAAUACAAGUAGGGAGCCUGUACAAAAGUACCUUUUGUAUUAGUGUGGUAUGGGUUCAACUGACACUCCCUGCAGUUCUCCUGUUGUCCACAUGCGUCACUGUUCAGUAAGAUGUAUGUAUGUUCACUGUGGAAAGUUAUUAAUUUGUUUUCACUUUUAAAACAUUACAAAAUUGUCCUUAUACAUACUUUUUUAUACAUUCAUUAUUAUUUAUACACUAU